rnacentral:rRNA from 1 species
CCCUUAGAUGUUCUGGGCCGCACGCGCGCUACACUGAUGCAUUCAACAAGCCUAGCCUUGACCGAGAGGUCCGGGUAAUCUUUGAAACUGCAUCGUGAUGGGGCUAGAUUAUUGCAAUUAUUAAUCUUCAACGAGGAAUGCCUAGUAAGCGUGAUUCAUCAAAUCGCGUUGAUUACGUCCCUGUCCUUUGUACACACCGCCCGUCGCUCCUACCGAUUGAAUGUGUUGGUGAGGAGCUCGGAUUGGCAGCAGUUGGUGGUUCGCCACCGGCUAUUGCUGAGAAGUCCUCCAAACCGCCCCAUUUAGAGGAAGGAGAAGUCGUAACA